rnacentral:misc_RNA from 1 species
CACACUGUGCCCCGUCUGCGAGUGCGGACCCCUCACGGGGGGCUCGCACCCGCCGGCGUAGCUCAGCUCACCCUUGUCUAUCUACACCAUUCGUGAAUCCCUCGGCGGGGACGCUCGCCGCUGGGAUCCCCAAACUCCACUGUAUGCAAGCAUCCAAACAUUCUGAAUCCAACCAAAAUUAUCA